AGCGCCGAGUCAGAAGAGAGCUAAAAUGGCGGAGGUUGGGAGUCCCUGCUUUGACUCUGUUUGCAAACUCUUGUUUCAUUGUUUAAGCGAUUAAAUCUCUCGAGUAGACGCUGUCUCUUUAGAUGCGAGGGCAAAAUAGCACUUUAUGGACUUACACAGAGGACAUCAUGUUUAAUACGGUUCCGGAAAAAUCCAGUCAGAAGUUGUUCACGGAGUUUUCACAAUAACUGCUUCUUAUGAACCGAAGCUGGAUUUGCACGACGUUUCCUCCUGAAAGUUGGAUUACCGUGCACUUCUGGAUCACAGGCUAUUCGCAGCUGGACACAUCCUUCUACACUGUAUGCAAACAUGCAACAUCAUUACACACAGUACAAGGAGUCAGACUGGCAUAUGAGGAGCAAAGGAACCCAGACAGUAGCAUCGUUUCACAAUGUUUCCAUCACCAUCAUCAGUGGAUGCCUUUGCCGUCCGUAGCCUGAGAUUUCAGAUUUGCAGCAAAAAAUUUGACUUUCCCAUUUAUUGGAAUGCUGUGCAGGUUGUACCUUGCAGCCAUCCAUUACAAUGUCACCAAGCCGUAACAAAAGCAGGAGAGGGAAAGUACAAGGCUAUGUUCCCAAAACACACAAGUGACAUACCUUAUGUGGAUGAUGUGAUCAGGCUUGUGUUUGCUGAGGUAUUUGAAGAUAAGCUGAAGGAAACCCCGAUUCCAAUGGACCUGGCAUCACAGUUUGAGAGACCUUCAAAGGAGGACGUGAUUGCAUGCCAUCUUCAGU